UUCCAGGUAGCUUAAUGGUAAAGCACCCAACAGGCAAUUGGGGAUUUGGGUUCAAGUCCCGGUCAGGGCU
rnacentral:tRNA from 1 species